GUGCUUUAAGAGUCUCGCGCAAAAACAGCCCUCAUAUCAUAUAGUCGUCCCCAGGCAGCAAAGCGCAAGAGCACACAUGCUUUUGGGACGAGCGAACAUCACAGCGCACGAAGUUGGACCAAACCGGACUCUUGUAAAGGAUAAAGACUUGUCACCUCUCAAGAACUCAGUCUCUGCUGACCACGUCUGUCCGAGUCGUGUAACAGAUUUUCAGGCUCGUCUGGGAUUGGCGCCACCUGCUGGAGGUAGCUGAUCCAUAGAUUUAUGAACCAGAGACAGCAUGACGCUUGACCAGAGCGAGAGGGCUACAAGUGGGCGACUCAUGAAAGGGGAUCCUGACCGAGAGGAGUGCAGCACUAUGUACCUUAAGUGUUUGGAAGCGUGCAUCAUGUCCAAUGACAAAAAGGGUCUGGGCCAUUAAGAAAAGGUUGCCUACACUGGCAUCUCAUUUAAGUUUUCCAGUUGAAAGUCUUGAUGUGGUAGCAGAGCUAGACCCAGCUAAGCUAAACAAGUCUAAUGAGGAAGGUUGUUUUGACAGUGUGUGAAUUCAUGUGUUGCAAGACCCUGCUUGAGCUACAGGAUAGGGGUAUGGCUCAGUUACUGUUUUAUAAAGGAUGCUAUUGAUGAGGUUGUGAAGGUAGUCCAUGAUGUGAAGGUAGUCCAGUGACCAGAUAUAUCCGCUAAUGUAGCUACUGCUGAUACUGAAAUACAAGAGUCUGAGUAUCAGUGGAUUUUGACCAGUUAUAAGGAGCUAGGCAGAAUACACUGAAGGAGUUAAGUAACACCUGCCACACCCACACCAGACAGACCACCUACUGUAAAGGAACUUAGCAGCUUGUCUAAAAUCCUGAGCACAGACCAUGCAGCACACCUCACUGCUGAUGGCAUGGUCGCCAUCAGAGACCUACCAUAUCUGCAGCACAAGAUGUGGUGGUGGGGGGUCAAAUAGGUGACAACACUUCUGACAUUAGUUACAACAGCAUAUGUAAACAAAUAAGAGGGGUUAACAUUAAAACACAGUAAAGCUGAAAUCAUCACAGGCGUCUUCUGCAUCAUCAAACCAGAACUUUAAAGACAUGCUAAUAAAUAAGAAUGAAAGGAUUGUUGCUGAGCUGAAACAUUUGUUUCGGUCUCACUUAGGAGAAAAGAGCAGCACGUCGAUGUAAGGAUGGACCGCCGGGCAACGGUGAUCCAGACCUGUCAAUACAGGUGCUGUUCCUGGUUAGUCUCAUGACACUAGAGCAGCCGUUCCCAAACUAGGUGAAGCCGCCUGAUAUCAAAAUGGGGUCGUGGCAGAAUUAAGACCCCUCCUCUCUUAUUACCCUAUCAGAUAAAGCAUUACUGAGGCAUGUAAUCAAAAUAACAAGCAAUGAAAGUGAGAGACGGUAGGUUGGGCCAAACCUUUCGUCACAAGACGACCCACCCACAGUGCCCAGCUUGAAGUGGGUGAAGUCAAAGUUCUCCAGUGGAAUGGACUAAAGCACCCUUGGGAGACUGAUCGACACGUUAGCCAGUCCGCCUGUCUUAGCCUGCCUCAACUUUGACUUGCCUUCAUGCACCACGCUGAUGCCUCUGACAAGGGGCUUGCUUGCUACCAAGAAACUGAUGCAUGAAUGGGGAAAACUACGCAUUGACAAUGGUCUCCUGUCCCGGAGAACCAGUCAAAGUCAUGAGCUAGUCUUACCAGGCCUGUACAAGCAAAUGGUCUUGAAACCACGUGUUAAUGAUGACAUGGUUCAUGUUGGAAGACAUUGGCGCUGUAUCAGACAAAAGAAGCCAGUCACACAUGUACGAGCACCAACUGGCAAUAUCAACCACCAUUUCACCACUAGAGCUAGUCUCUAUCGACUACGUGCAUCUGAAGGCCAGCAAAGGUGGAUUUGAUUACAUCCAGGUAGUCAUCAAUCAUUUCACAAGAUUCGCACAAGCGUAUCCGACCAAGAACAAAUCCGGAAGAACAGUAGCUGAAAUGAUAUUCAAUGACUUGAUCCCAAGGUUCGGAUACCACUCCCAGUUACACCACGAUCAAAGUUGAGAGUUUGAAAACAAGUUCUUCAAAACACUGCAGCAAAUGACUGGAGUGGUUCACUCAAGGACAUCUCCCUAUCACCCUCAGGGCAACUCGGCUGAAAUAUUCGAUAGGGCCCUACUUCAGAUACUGAGAACGCACACCGGCUACAGUCCUUGUACGAAACCUAAGUGAGAGAGGUGGACCUGGAAAGUUGAGGUCAUACUGGGAAAAGACAAUAUAUGUAGUUAAAGAGCAAUUGAGUUACAAUCCAGUGUACAAACUCUGUCCAAAGAUGGGUGGGAACAAGACCUGUAUCUUCCACCGCAAUCUCCUGCACCUAGUCAACGACUUACCUGCAGACUUACCGCCGACGCCUGCACAGACAAACCCACCUAGAGAGAAAAGGAAGAGCUGACCCAAAACAAUGAUACAAGACUCGGAUGACAAAAGCACAGGAGCACAUGCCUGGCUGAUAAUACCUGUAAGAAAAUGGCAAAGAACAGACAAUCUAUGAUACUCCGAGGAACCCAGCACGUGUAGGACCCACACGACGCUGUACCUACCAGAGUUAUUGCACCUGCAAGAGAAAUCCAAAGACCAGAAGAGUCGGAAGGAGGAGAACAAGAAGAGGAAUACUUACCCACUGAACCAGCACGGUCAGACACAGAGAUGGAUAUGGACGAAGAAUACCUGUGCAAGAGGAAAGACUCCUAGUAAACCCCCCCAGGUUGAUGCAGGCUGGACAGGCUAGGAGGCCCACACGUGAGAGAAGGCCUGCACAGAUGCUUCUUAGCACACGCUAGGUCAGCCAUCCUUCCAGCCACACACCGCAAUCAAACACGAGAGGUUUUUGGGGUGCCACCUAUGACAGUCUGGGGAAUUCCAACGUAUGACAUUCCACAGUCUUACCAAACACUACCCUACCCCACACUAGUGCCUUACCGUAUUAAUAGGAAAUAAUUUAAAGUGAAGCACUUAUACAUACCAAUGACAUGUAAGUAAGGGUUAAAUGUCAGGAGCAAUUUUCUUUUUGUCAGGGAGUGUGUUACGCACACAGUUUUGACGUUUUAUUUAUUUAUUUUAUGGCACCAUCCCUUUAAUUUUCUAGGUCUCCCAGGUAUUUGCAUUGAAGGUAAUGUAUAUGGUUACCACCACUAGUGGGAGCUGUGAUGUCAAUGGGGAGUGUUAGUGGGAUCGUGAGGUCUUGGAUGUUUCUUCAGUCUUGGAAAAUGCCUGAUACUGAACACUAACUUUCUCUCAUCAUUCAGGAAUGUAAAUGUGUAAAGUACAAUAUGAGUCCUGAAAUAUUGAGACAUCAUGGUUAACUACAUAGUCCAAGAUUUUGGAGAUGUUUGAAGGGAGUUUUAAUUGGGUUAACUGGUUUGUAUUUUCCUCGUUAAGCAAUGGUUGCUAAUGGUUUACAUGCAAGCAAAGGCAACAAGAUGGUGUCUGAAAUGUUUGACUUUUUCAACAAUGUUUUUUGCUCCUAUUUGUUUUCUUUUCUAUGAACAAAGGCUCUGUUUACUUCAGGUAAUAUUUGUACAUAUGCAGUGUGUCGAUAGAAUGUGUUUGUAUUAGCAUUCAAAAUAGCAUUUAACAGUUCGCUAACUUUAUUCUAACCAAAUGUAGCUUUGCUAAGCACUAGCUAGCUCUAUGCUAUUGGGUUUCAGCAAUUGUGAGCUUGAAUAUUGAUAGUUUAGAAUGUAAUGUUUUUAACAUUGUUUAGCACAGGGCUCCAGUGAUUUGUAGCAUUAUGGGAAUUGACACUGCUAGUACAGUGAGCUCUAUAUAAUGUGAUGUAGCCUUUUCUGGUACAACUUCAUGGUUUGACAUUCCAAAUAGCUUUUGUUGGUAUAUGCUGAAUGCUACACUGAUUGAAUAGCCUCAGGUUAUAUUCAUUUGACUAUUAGUGAAAGGUAAAAUGUGAAUGUGUAGAUGUAUGGAGUUGGCUUUUUGAAUUUGAGACCUUUAUUUUGAUACCCAAUAUGGAAUGUGAAAAAAAUUUAACACUACAAUGCAGUUGUAAUGUAUACUUGAUGAUUGAUUUAGACAAAAAAAUAAAC
ensembl:lncRNA